rnacentral:rRNA from 1 species
GACGGAGGUUGCAAGUGUUAUCCGGAAUCACUGGGCGUAAAGCGUCUGUAGGUGGUUUAAUAAGUCAACUGUUAAAUCUUGAGGCUCAACCUCAAAAUCGCAGUCGAAACUAUUAGGCUAGAGUAUAGUAGGGGUAAAGGGAAUUUCCAGUGGAGCGGUGAAAUGCGUAGAGAUUGGGAAGAACAUCCGUGGCGAAAGCGCUCUGCUGGACUGCAACUGACAUUGAGGGACGAAAGCUAGGGGAGCGAAUGGG